rnacentral:lncRNA from 1 species
ACCGUGUAGAACGCCACAUGCGGGGUGUCGGCUAUGUUUGACAUGGGGUGGCAAUUUUGAAGCGACGAAAAAGUAGCAAGGUAAGUUCAAGCAUCAAAAUUUCUUAUUUUUAGAACUCUCAGUACCAUAUAAUGUAUUGCACGGAAGGAACUGCAACAUAAUCUAUUUCCGGAGAGCAGAAGCAGUCGUUUUCCGUGAUCAGUUUUUUCAAACACCUCGCCCUACUUUUCCGUGUUGCAGAUUUUGAGGCUUUAUAUGCCAAUUUCGGUAUAAAAAACUACUUUACACAGCUACCCUCCGUAUCAUUUAUAUAGAAUUGUAUUCCUCUCAUUGACUUAUACCAAAUACCAGUUUCUUAGUUAAAAUCAAUUGGUUUUAAAACUGUUAUUCAUCAAAAUAUAAAGUGUCGCUCGGGGUGUCAGAUUUUGCGUCGCAAGGGGUAGAGGCUUGUCAUAAAAAAAAAAUACAUAUUUGCAUGUAAAUUUGCCUUCAUAUGAUAAAUUUUAUUUCAAACACAUCUACUUUACCAUGACAAAACAAGAUUUUUUCAUUUUGCCUGUUUUUGGUCUUACAAAAGAUAUGCUUUUGAUUUCAUUCACAUCUACUUUACCAUGACAAAAUGAGGGUUUUUCAUUUUGCCUGUUUUUGGUCUUAUAAAAACAUGUUGCUUUGAUUUCAUUCAUAGUAAAAAAAAUGGCUCAAAAUAUUUAGUUUCCAAGCUGGUAAACAAUUUCUUUUCCUUUUCAGUCACUAUCAUGGUAAAAAAAGGCAAGGCUAUGGCUCAAUAAACCAAAACAUGGUGGGAAAUCACAAAAUAGUCCUCAAUAUAAGAUAUGCCGAAGCCCCCACCAGCCAAAAUGCAUUAUAGUUCAUCACCAGGUUCAUCUAAAAAGCACUCGUGCACCCCGCCAAAAACCAUCACUCCUAAAAGAAUUAGAAC